rnacentral:misc_RNA from 1 species
UCCAGCUUAACGCUGGCGGUUUCCUUAGAGUUCCCGGCCGAACCGCUGGCAACUAAGGAUAAGGGUUGCGCUCGUUGCGGGACUUAACCCAACAUCUCACGACACGAGCUGACGACAGCCAUGCAGCACCUGUGUUCCAGCCAGCCAAACUGAAGGACUCCGUCUCUGGAGCCCAUACUGGACAUGUCAAGGCCUGGUAAGGUUCUUCGCGUUGCGUCGAAUUAAACCACAUGCUCCACCGCUUGUGCGGGUCCCCGUCAAUUCCUUUGAGUUUUAAUCUUGCGACCGUACUCCCCAGGCGGAGUGCUUAAUGCGUUAGCGGCGCCACCGAGCCCUAUGGACCCAACGGCUAGCACUCAUCGUUUACGGCGUGGACUAC